UACGAAGGGGGCGAGCGUUGUUCGGAAUGACUGGGCGUAAAGGGCGCGCAGGCGGCGGAUCAAGUCAGGCGUGAAAGCCCCGGGCUCAACCUGGGAAUGGCGCUUGGGACUGGUCUGCUCGAGUUCGGGAGAGGAGCGUGGAAUUCCCAGUGUAGAGGUGAAAUUCGUAGAUAUUGGGAAGAACACCGGUGGCGAAGGCGGCGCUCUGGACCGAGACUGACGCUGAGGCGCGAAAGCUAGGGGAGCAAACAGG
rnacentral:rRNA from 1 species